rnacentral:rRNA from 1 species
GGGUUGUGAGGUUAAGCGACUAAGCGUACACGGUGGAUGCCCUGGCAGUCAGAGGCGAUGAAGGACGUGCUAAUCUGCGAUAAGCGUCGGUAAGGUGAUAUGAACCGUUAUAACCGGCGAUUUCCGAAUGGGGAAACCCAGUGUGAUUCGUCACACUAUCAUUAACUGAAUCCAUAGGUUAAUGAGGCGAACCGGGGGAACUGAAACAUCUAAGUACCCCGAGGAAAAGAAAUCAACCGAGAUUCCCCCAGUAGCGGCGAGCGAACGGGGAGCAGCCCAGAGCCUGAAUCAGUGUGUGUGUUAGUGGAAGCGUCUGGAAAGGCGCGCGAUACAGGGUGACAGCCCCGUACACAAAAAUGCACAUGCUGUGAGCUCGAUGAGUAGGGCGGGACACGUGGUAUCCUGUCUGAAUAUGGGGGGACCAUCCUCCAAGGCUAAAUACUCCUGACUGACCGAUAGUGAACCAGUACCGUGAGGGAAAGGCGAAAAGAACCCCGGCGAGGGGAGUGAAAAAGAACCUGAAACCGUGUACGUACAAGCAGUGGGAGCACGCUUAGGCGUGUGACUGCGUACCUUUUGUAUAAUGGGUCAGCGACUUAUAUUCUGUAGCAAGGUUAACCGAAUAGGGGAGCCGAAGGGAAACCGAGUCUUAACUGGGCGUUAAGUUGCAGGGUAUAGACCCGAAACCCGGUGAUCUAGCCAUGGGCAGGUUGAAGGUUGGGUAACACUAACUGGAGGACCGAACCGACUAAUGUUGAAAAAUUAGCGGAUGACUUGUGGCUGGGGGUGAAAGGCCAAUCAAACCGGGAGAUAGCUGGUUCUCCCCGAAAGCUAUUUAGGUAGCGCCUCGUGAAUUCAUCUCCGGGGGUAGAGCACUGUUUCGGCAAGGGGGUCAUCCCGACUUACCAACCCGAUGCAAACUGCGAAUACCGGAGAAUGUUAUCACGGGAGACACACGGCGGGUGCUAACGUCCGUCGUGAAGAGGGAAACAACCCAGACCGCCAGCUAAGGUCCCAAAGUCAUGGUUAAGUGGGAAACGAUGUGGGAAGGCCCAGACAGCCAGGAUGUUGGCUUAGAAGCAGCCAUCAUUUAAAGAAAGCGUAAUAGCUCACUGGUCGAGUCGGCCUGCGCGGAAGAUGUAACGGGGCUAAACCAUGCACCGAAGCUGCGGCAGCGACGCUGAUGCGUUGUUGGGUAGGGGAGCGUUCUGUAAGCCUGCGAAGGUGUGCUGUGAGGCAUGCUGGAGGUAUCAGAAGUGCGAAUGCUGACAUAAGUAACGAUAAAGCGGGUGAAAAGCCCGCUCGCCGGAAGACCAAGGGUUCCUGUCCAACGUUAAUCGGGGCAGGGUGAGUCGACCCCUAAGGCGAGGCCGAAAGGCGUAGUCGAUGGGAAACAGGUUAAUAUUCCUGUACUUGGUGUUACUGCGAAGGGGGGACGGAGAAGGCUAUGUUGGCCGGGCGACGGUUGUCCCGGUUUAAGCGUGUAGGCUGGUUUUCCAGGCAAAUCCGGAAAAUCAAGGCUGAGGCGUGAUGACGAGGCACUACGGUGCUGAAGCAACAAAUGCCCUGCUUCCAGGAAAAGCCUCUAAGCAUCAGGUAACAUCAAAUCGUACCCCAAACCGACACAGGUGGUCAGGUAGAGAAUACCAAGGCGCUUGAGAGAACUCGGGUGAAGGAACUAGGCAAAAUGGUGCCGUAACUUCGGGAGAAGGCACGCUGAUAUGUAGGUGAAGCGACUUGCUCGUGGAGCUGAAAUCAGUCGAAGAUACCAGCUGGCUGCAACUGUUUAUUAAAAACACAGCACUGUGCAAACACGAAAGUGGACGUAUACGGUGUGACGCCUGCCCGGUGCCGGAAGGUUAAUUGAUGGGGUUAGCGCAAGCGAAGCUCUUGAUCGAAGCCCCGGUAAACGGCGGCCGUAACUAUAACGGUCCUAAGGUAGCGAAAUUCCUUGUCGGGUAAGUUCCGACCUGCACGAAUGGCGUAAUGAUGGCCAGGCUGUCUCCACCCGAGACUCAGUGAAAUUGAACUCGCUGUGAAGAUGCAGUGUACCCGCGGCAAGACGGAAAGACCCCGUGAACCUUUACUAUAGCUUGACACUGAACAUUGAGCCUUGAUGUGUAGGAUAGGUGGGAGGCUUUGAAGUGUGGACGCCAGUCUGCAUGGAGCCGACCUUGAAAUACCACCCUUUAAUGUUUGAUGUUCUAACGUGGACCCGUAAUCCGGGUUGCGGACAGUGUCUGGUGGGUAGUUUGACUGGGGCGGUCUCCUCCUAAAGAGUAACGGAGGAGCACGAAGGUUGGCUAAUCCUGGUCGGACAUCAGGAGGUUAGUGCAAUGGCAUAAGCCAGCUUGACUGCGAGCGUGACGGCGCGAGCAGGUGCGAAAGCAGGUCAUAGUGAUCCGGUGGUUCUGAAUGGAAGGGCCAUCGCUCAACGGAUAAAAGGUACUCCGGGGAUAACAGGCUGAUACCGCCCAAGAGUUCAUAUCGACGGCGGUGUUUGGCACCUCGAUGUCGGCUCAUCACAUCCUGGGGCUGAAGUAGGUCCCAAGGGUAUGGCUGUUCGCCAUUUAAAGUGGUACGCGAGCUGGGUUUAGAACGUCGUGAGACAGUUCGGUCCCUAUCUGCCGUGGGCGCUGGAGAACUGAGGGGGGCUGCUCCUAGUACGAGAGGACCGGAGUGGACGCAUCACUGGUGUUCGGGUUGUCAUGCCAAUGGCACUGCCCGGUAGCUAAAUGCGGAAGAGAUAAGUGCUGAAAGCAUCUAAGCACGAAACUUGCCCCGAGAUGAGUUCUCCCUGACCCUUUAAGGGUCCUGAAGGAACGUUGAAGACGACGACGUUGAUAGGCCGGGUGUGUAAGCGCAGCGAUGCGUUGAGCUAACCGGUACUAAUGAACCGUGAGGCUUAACCUUACAACGCCGAAG